rnacentral:rRNA from 1 species
CUCCUCUUGUUGAUUAUUUGAGGUAUGGCCUGCCCACUGACGGUUUAGUUGAAGGGCCGCGGUAUUUUGACCGUGCAAAGGUAGCAUAAUCAUUAGUCCUUUAAUUGUGGGCUGGUAUGAAUGGCUCGACGAGGUACUGACUGUCUUUAUUUGAUUGGUUGUUGAAGUUGGUGUUCGGGUAAAAAUGCCUGGAUGUAGUUAUGGGACGAGAAGACCCUAUAGAGUUUUAUAUGGUAUGCCCUCUUCUUGUUUGUUUUCAUUUGUUGGGAUUUCCGUAUUUUGUUGGGGUGAUGGGAAGAUAUAAUCAACUCUUCUUUUUGUUUUUAUAUUUAUUUGUAGUUUUUCGAUCCUGUAUUAUUGAUUAUAAGAUUAAAUUACCUUAGGGAUAACAGCGUGAUCCUCCCUGAGAGUUCUUAUUGACGGGGGGGUUUGCGACCUCGAUGUUGGAUUAAGAUGAAUUUUUGGUGUAGAGGCUUUAUUAAAGUAUUUAUAUUGGGUCUGUUCGACCCUUGAAAUCUU